GUUUUCAUCCCCAUUUAUUUGCUUUAUAAAUACCACUUUAACCCUUCUUUUAAAUACAAAGGAGGGGAGACCAAUGUUGCCAAAAAAGAAAAACCAAAGCAAGUCUCAUCACCAGCAUGACACUGGGAACUUAUCAGCAGGUGAAGAUGAUGUAACAUGUUGUCCAGCUACAACAAAGAAAGGGGGAGGAGGCUUCAUGAAUAUGCUGUGCAAAGCUUUGGGCUGCUGUGGACUGCUUUCAGCUUGCUAUGACCCUCGAACUCCUCAUUGAUAAUAAUAAAUGUAACUGGCAAAGUAGUUUUUAGUAGAGUAUUGAAAGAACAGACAGAAAUGGUAGUAGUAUAUGAUAUGAAUGUUACUUAUGGUGUUAUUUAUUGAAAGUCAAUUUCUUUGAUCAA